UACGUAGGGUGCAAGCGUUGUCCGGAAUUAUUGGGCGUAAAGAGCUCGUAGGCGGUUUGUCGCGUCGAAUGUGAAAACCCGGGGCUCAACCCCGGGCCUGCAUUCGAUACGGGCAGACUAGAGUUCGGUAGGGGGAGUCUGGAAUUCCUGGUGUAGCGGUGAAAUGCGCAGAUAUCAGGAGGAACACCGGUGGCGAAGGCGGGACUCUGGGCCGAUACUGACGUGAGGAGCGAAAAGCGUGGGGGAGCAAAACAGG
rnacentral:rRNA from 1 species